CGCCGCCCGCGACACUGCGAGAAGUCCAUUGAACCUUAUCAUUUAGAGGAAGGAGAAGUCGUAACAAGGUUUCCGUAGGUGAACCUGCGGAAGGAUCAUUG
rnacentral:rRNA from 42 species